CAGCGACGUCAUCGGAUCCCCCAGCGCGUCCAAGGGAGGGAGGCUGAACCAGAAAAACCAGUCUGGAGCCGGCGAACAGAGAGGGUUGAGCGGUGUGCGGGGAGACUGGGGAGGGAGGCGACCGGGAGGGCAGGGCCGGGCCCUGCCAAGGCCGCUCCGGGCGGGAAGAUCGCGGCCGCGCUCCCGCUCCCUCCGGUCGGGGAACUCCCCGGAGAGCCGGUCUCUACUUGUCUUGCAAAAAAAAAAAAACCUUGGGCGUCUCUAGGAGCCUGAGAAUUUCCUUUAGGGAUGUGGAAACCUCCUCCCCCCACCCCCAUCUUCCCCAUUCCCCAGAUGAUAGUUCCCUGUCUUGAAGACACGCGGAAUUAUAGAAUAAUUAGUAUUCUUUAUGAUUUUGUCCGGGUACCUCUGAUCCCUUUCCUCUCCCUCGCCCCCCGCCUCUACUCACAUUUAUGCUAUCGGUCAAGAAAAACAAAAUCAGAUUGUAGCUCCUGGCUGCGUUUCUGGAGCUUUGCAAAGUGUUUUAGUAGCCCUUCCCUUGCCCCUGCGGAAGCACGAACUUUUCACGCGCUCGAAAUGCCCCCAUUGCCUUCCCCGGGGUCACUCCUCAGGGCUCCCUGGGCGCACCCAGUUCGGGGAACGCGGCCCGCCCUCGCCGGGGUAUUCAAAUCGGCUUGGGCAGCGGCGCGGGGAGCAGCUGCCGGUUUCCUGGUGGGCCGCGCUGGGACCUGGGGCGAGCAGCCGCCUCCAGCCUGCGCGCUUCCCUUCCUCCGAAGGGACGCGAGUGAAAUCACACCCAGAGCGGGGAGAGCGGGGCCAGCGGGCGAGGGAAUCCCAGGCGAAUGGGGCCGGGGCGCUGGGCUUCCUCCCCGGCCCGGCAACACCCGGGGGACACCGGGGCUCCCUCGAGCCGCUAGCCUGCCUGUGUGGACUCGUGUGCACCCUCGGGGGAGGUUCCCGGGAGGCCGCGGCGGCCGGACCGCGGCGAGGGGCCGCCGGGCCGAGCGGACGCCCUGAGCGCCGCGUCCGGGUGGUCUCCGGGUCGGGCGGGGACCGCGCGCCGCCCCUCCCGGGCGCCCAAGCAGCCGAGCCGAGCGGAGCCGAGUGCCCGGGCGCCGCGGGACGAAGCGGCCCUCCCCACCCAGCGGCCGCGCCGCCGCCCUGCCCCGGGCGGAGUAAACAAGAGACGCGCAAGAUUUGACCUGGCGCGACCCGGAUUUCUGGCCGGGGUUCCCCCUGAGCAGGUGACUCCGUGGGAGGGGUGGAAAUUAGUCUCUGGAAUUCCGGGCCAAAGACAUGCAGUGUGGUUCUGCUUUUAAGGCAGGUAUUUCACCGACAACUGCGGAAUGUUUUGCGUCUCAAGUUUCAGAUUUCGCGGAAAGGGACCAAAUGUCAAGGCAUAUCAAAUAUUCCUUUCCCUUUUCAUUAAAAGCGAGUGCAUUAAAAGGACAGCCCCUUUAAUGACUGCGAGAAUAGCACUGCCGGUUUCGUUUUUGUUUUGUUUUCAUUUCGACCUCUAAUCAGUGUAUUUCUGAGGUGCCCGAGCAAUGGCGACAUAUCCGUGAAGGACGACUCUGCAAAAUAAAAAGAAAACUUCUGAAGUCAAAACCAAAACUGGCAUUGUUAAACUGUGCACUCAGCCCUAAGGAGAUCUAUGGAAAGUGAGGCUGGCUGGAGCAUAGCUGACCCCAUCUAGCUGACCCCAUCUAGCUGACCCCAUCUAGCUGACCCCAUCUGACCCAUAUGGACCAUCACAACAAGGAUCCCAUGAACUGCUUCCUCCCUCAUCAGACCUCACAAGAUCAGAGAUUAACAUGCAGCUGCUUAUAGCCUAAGGAGGAGGCCAGCUGGUACGGGGGAAAGCACACACAGGAGAGGUGGUCCUAUUUGGAAGGCAGUCUACUGAUAUUAUUAAGACCUCUAGUGGGGCUUCCCUGGUGGUGCAGUGGUUGAGAAUCUGCCUGCCAAUGCAGGGCACACGGGUUCGAGGCCUGGUCUGGGAAGAUCCCACAUGCCGCAGAGCAACUGGGCCCAUGGGCUACAAUUACUGAGCCUGCGCGUCUGGAGCCUGUGCUCCGCCACAAGAGAGGCCCGCGCACCGCGAUGAAGAGUGGCACCCGCUCGCCGCAACUAAAGAAAGCCCUCGAACAGAAACGAAGACCCAACACAGCCAAAAAUAAAUUAAUUAAUUAAUAAAAAAAAACCCCAUGCAGCCAAAAGUAAAUAAAUAAAUUAAAAAAAAAAAAAAAAAAAGACCUCUAGUGAGAGACCCAAGUCCAAAUCCGAAAACCCUCAUUUACCUGAGGUCAAUUUGCACAAAUACCUUAACAUCUCUGAGAGCCUAUUCUCCUGCAAAAUUAGGACAAUAGUAUUUAUUUCAGUGUUACUGCAACAGGUAAGUGGCAUGCAGUAAGUGCUUAAUAUGUGCUGGUUGUUUAUAUAAA